rnacentral:rRNA from 1 species
GCCAAGAGCACCGCUGGGUAGCUACGUAUGGAUUAGAUAAUCGCUGAAAGCAUCUAAGUGAGAAACUAACCUCGAGAUGAGAUUUCCCAUUCGUCAGAAGUAAGACCCCUGAGAGACGAUCAGGUAGAUAGGCUAGAAGUGGAAGUGUAGUGAUGCAUGGAGCGGACUAGUACUAAUAGGUCGAGGACUUAACCAAG